CAAAUAACCAGCAAUGGAAUCAGCUGGAGAUAAUUCUGUAUAUAAUCCCUCAACAAAAUUAGUCACUGUCAGCAAGUUCCUCAGAUGCAAUCCAUACUUAGGCAUGCAGCACUACCAGCAACACUGAAGCUGAACUAGUGGCAGGAACAGGGCAAGGACUAGUAUGAAUUUGCAGGACCUCAUCUCCAGAGUCAGUUUUACAGCAUUUUUUCAUGUCUGGACCCAGCCGCAUAUUGUCAGGACAGGCACACGUAUACUUGGGAGAAUGGGGAGAGAUCUGAGGUGCAGGA